rnacentral:rRNA from 1 species
CCCUUAGAUGUUCUGGGCUGCACGCGCGCUACACUGAUGCGUUCAACGAGUUUAUGACCUUGCCCGAUAGGGUUGGGUAAUCUUUUUAAAUCGCAUCGUGAUGGGGAUAGAUUAUUGCAAUUAUUAAUCUUCAACGAGGAAUUCCUAGUAAGCGCGAGUCAUCAGCUCGUGCUGAUUACGUCCCUGCCCUUUGUACACACCGCCCGUCGCUCCUACCGAUUGAGCAUUAGGGUGAAAUCUUCGGACCGUGGCAUACUUCUGGCCUAGCCAGUCUUUGUCCGUGGGAGGUCGCUUAAAUCCUGAUGCUUAGAGGAAGUAAAAGUCGUAACA